GGUUCGAUCCUGGCUCAGAUUGAACGCUGGCGGACAGCUUUGGCACACGCGUGUCGAACGGCAGCACGGACUUCGGUCUGGUGGCGAGUGGCGAACGGGUGAGUAAUGCAUCGGAACGCGCCUAGUAGCGGGGAUAACUACGCGAGCAGUAGCUAAUACCGCACACCUUCGGGGAAAGCGGGGAUCUCUGGCCUUCGCACUAUUAGAGCGGCUUGAUAUCGGAUUAGCUAGUUGGUGGGGUAACGGCUCACUCAAGGCGACGAUCCGUAGCUGGUUUGAGAGGACGACCAGCCACACUGGGACUGAGACACGGCCCAGACUCCUACGGAGGCAGGGGGAAUUUUGGACAAUGGGGGAAAACCCUGAUCCAAAACAUCCCGCGUGCGCGAUGGUUAUUCUCGGCCGUAAAACUUUACAGAAAGAAACGGGCACGAUGGGUCACCCCGUGCAACUGACGGUACCUGCAGAAUAAGCACUGGCUAACUACAUGCCAGCAGCCGCGGUAAUACGAAAAGCGGGUUGACCGGAAUUACUGGGCGCAAAGCGUGGCGCAGGCGGUUCGAAAGAAAGAUGUGAAAUCCCAGAGCUUAAUCUGGAACUGCAUUUUUAACUACCGAUAGAGCAGGUUUGAGGAGGUGGAAUUGCGUGUAAGUGAAAUGCGUAGAUAUGCGGAGGAACACCGAUGGCGAAGCAGCCUCCGGGAUAACACUGACGCUCAUAACGAAAGCGUGGGGAGCAAACAGAUUAGAUACCCUGGUAGUCCACGCCCUAAAACGAUGUCAACUAGCUGUUGGGGCCUUUCUUGGCCUGGUAGCGCAGCUAACGCGUGAAGUUGACCGCCUGGGGAGUACGGUCGCAAGAUUUAAAACUCAAAGGAAUUGACGGGGACCCACGCGGAUGAUGUGGAUUAAUUCGAUGCAACGAAAAAACCUUACCUACCCUUGACAUGUCUGGAAUCCCGAAGAGAUUUGGGAGUGCCUGCAAGAGAACCCGGAACAUAAAAGCGUAUGGCUGUCGUCAGCUCGUGUUCGUGAGAUGUUGAAUAAGUCCCAACGAGCGCAACCUUGUCAUUAGUUACGAAAGGGCACUCUGACGAGACUGCCGGCGACAAACUGGAGGAAGGUGGGGAUGACGCCAAGUCCUCAUGGCCUCAUGGGUAGGGCUUCACACGUCAUACAAUGGUCGGGACAGAGGGUCGCCAACCUGCGAGGGGGAGCCAAUCCCAGGAAACCGAUCAAACCGGAUCGCAGUCUGCAACUCGACUGCGUGAAGUCAACUGGUAAUCGCGGAUCAGCAUGCGUAAAAUGCGGUGAAUACGUUCCCGGUCUACACACUGCCUGUCACACUACAUGGGAGUGGGUUUUACCAGAAGAAGUAGCCCAAUCCUCGCAAGGAGGGCGAUUUACCACGGUAGGAUUCAUGACUGGGGUGAAGUCGUAACAAGGUAGCUCU
rnacentral:rRNA from 1 species